AGGACGAACGCUGGCGGCGUGCUUAACACAUGCAAGUCGAGCGAGGCCCCACCUUCGGGUGGGUGUCCUAGCGGCGAACGGGUGAGUAACACGUGGGCAACCUGCCCCUAGCACUGGGAUAACUCCGGGAAACCGGGGCUAAUACCGGGUACGACUUCGGAAGGCAUCUUCUGAAGUGGAAAGGGUUACUGGCUAGGGAUGGGCCCGCGGCCUAUCAGCUUGUUGGUGGGUAACGGCCUACCAAGGCUCCGACGGGUAG
rnacentral:rRNA from 1 species